rnacentral:piRNA from 1 species
UGAUAAUGAGAGUAUCUGAAUAACUG